rnacentral:pre_miRNA from 1 species
UUUAGUUUUUACUCUUUGUCUUAUUUAAAAUUUUUCUAAGAUUAAUAUUUUUAUUUUUACUAGAUGAUAAAAUAUGAAUACUACUUUAUGCGUGACUAAUUUUUUAAUUUUUUAAGUGUUUGUACAAAUUUUUCAAAUAAGACGAAUGAUUAAACGUUGGAUAUGAAAA